rnacentral:rRNA from 1 species
CCUACGGGUGGCAGCAGUGAGGAAUAUUGGUCAAUGGGCUUACGCCUGAACCAGCCAAGUCGCGUGAGGGAAGACUGCCCUACGGGUUGUAAACCUCUUUUGUCAGGGAGCAAAUGGCGCUACGUGUACCGUUAUCGGGAGUACCUGAAGAAAAAGCAUCGGACAACUCCGUGCCAGCAGCCGCGGUAAUACGGAGGAUGCGAGCUUUACCCGGAUUUUUUGGGUUUAAGGGGUGAGCAGGCGGCAUGACAAGUCGGCGGUAAAAGCGCGGGGCUAAACCCCGCUCAGCCGUUGAAACUGGCGGUCUGGAGUGGGCGAGAAGUAUGCGGAAUGCGUGGUGUAGCGGUGAAAUGCAUAGAUAUCGCGCAGAACUCCGAUUGCGAAGGCAGCAUACCGGCGCCCAACUGACGCUGAGGCACGAAAGCGUGGGUAUCGAACAGGAUUAGAUACCCCUGUAGUC